GCUAUUGGAGUCCGAUUAAGACAUGCGAGUCGAGAGCUUUCGGAGCUCGGCAUACUGCUCAGUAACACGUGGGUAACCUGCCCUAUGCUGGGGGAUAACCUCGGGAAACUGAGAACAAUACCCCAUAGUCCACUACGCCUGGAACGGUGAGUGGAUGAAAGCCCCGGCGGCAUAGGAUGGGCCUGCGGCGUAUCAGGUUGUAGGGGGUGUAAUGUACCCUCUAGCCCUCGACGCGUACGGGUUGUGAGAGCAAUAGCCCGGAGAUGGAUUCUGAGACAAGAAUCCAGGUCCUACGGGACGCAKCAGUCGCGAAACCUUGACAAUGCGGGAAACCGUGAUCAGGGGACUCCAAGUGCCAGGAGUAAGAUCCUGUGCUUUUCAUAUCUCUUCAAAGGAUUUGGAAUAAGAGGUGGGUAAGGACGGUGCCAGCCGCCGCGGUAAUACCGGCGCCUCAAGUGGUAGUCGAUUUUAUUGGGCCUAAAACGUCCGUCGCCGGUCUGGUGCAUUCGUGGGUAAAUCAACCCGCUCAACGGGUUGAAUUCUGCGAGCACGGCCAGACUAGGGACCGGGAGAGGUGUAGGGUACGCUCGGGGUAGGGGUAAAAUCCUGUCAUCCCGAGCGGACCACCUGUUGCGAAGGCGCUACACUAGAACGGACCCGACGGUCAGGGACGAAGCCUAGGGGCACGAACCGGAUUAGAUACCCGGGUAGUCCUAGGUGUAAACGCUGUGGACUUGGUGUUGGAAGCUCCCAGAGGGCUUUCAGUGCCGUAGCGAAGGUGAUAAGUCCACUGCCUGGGGAGUACGGUCGCAAGGCUGAAACUUAAAGGAAUUGGCGGGGGAACACCGC
rnacentral:rRNA from 1 species